rnacentral:rRNA from 1 species
GACGAACCGUGCGAACGUUAUUCGGAAUCACUGGGCUUAAAGGGCGCGUAGGCGGGUGGCCAAGUCCGGGGUGAAAGCCCCCAGCUCAACUGGGGAAGUGCCUCGGAUACUGGUCGCCUCGAGGGAGAUAGGGGCGUGCGGAACUUCCGGUGGAGCGGUGAAAUGCGUAGAUAUCGGAAGGAACACCGGUGGCGAAGGCGGCAUCCUGGACCGGCAUUGACGCUGAGUGAGCGAAAGCUAGGGGAGCAAACGGG